rnacentral:lncRNA from 1 species
GUACAGGCUGGCGGCGUUUCUGCAUGAACACACAGCUCGCCGUGAGGCCGGCGGCGGCCACACGUGCUCUGUCACACUAUAAAAGGUCGGCUGCUCUCAGACCACACUUCAGCUUCUUCAGCUUCCUUGAAGAGAAACUUCUCGCUCACUCCUACGACAGGAUCCAACAUGAUGAAGCUCAGGUUCACCCUGCUGGCCGUGCUGGCCAUCACACUCAUCGCUCUGGCUGCAGAGUCGUCUGCAAAUGAUAAACAUCAUGGGAACAAUAAUGAUCAUGGGAACAAUGGACAUCAUGGGAACAAUGGACAUCAUGGGAACAAUGGACAUCAUGGGAACAAUGGACAUCAUGGAGACGUUGAUCGUGAAGCAGUGAUCCAGCAGAUCAAGGAGCGAGUGGCAGAGCUGAGGGCCAAAUAUGGACCAGCACUGCAGAAACUGAGAGACGAGCACGGAGGAGACCUGGGGAAACUUCUCCUUUAAUGGGAGACGGCAAGUGGACAUGUUGGAGGACCCUGGUUGUCUUACUGUUGUCUCUCUGUCUUCCACACCUGCAGUCAAAGAGGCUCCAAACGUCCCUGUAAAGACGUGUCCUUCUGAACCAGUCUCCAUGAGGACACUGUGACAUCUGAGCCUUUACUGGGUCACUUGGUGCUGACCCCUGCUGGUUCCUUCUGUUAGAAUCAAUAAAGCAAUGAGAAGCAUCA